GGCUUCAUCGUCUAACGGCUAGGACGCGGGAUUCUCAUUCCUGAAAUCGGAGUUCGAUUCUCCGUGAAGUCA
rnacentral:tRNA from 1 species